UAAUUCUUCUUUCUUGGUAAU
rnacentral:piRNA from 1 species